GUGGGGGGUGGGGUGGAGUGUGGCGGCAAAACGCAGACUUAAGAGUCAGAGUCGGGGCGCAGAAGAGUGGGAGUAGGGGUGGAGUGAGACGGGGGCAGCUGUCGUCACAGUCGGUCGGGCGCACAAAUUCGCGUCCUUACUGACACAGGCAGCUGGCCUGUGGGUUCUGACCAGCUGGCUGACUUAGCGCUGGGCCCUUAAGGCUAAAUUGGCAGGGCCUGAAGAGGGAGACACUGAGGGCCUGUCAGAGAGCACCCAUCCAGGAGAAAACGGGCUUCAUCCUGGGGACAGAGCCAGGCCCUGCUGGAGACCCUAACAGGGUAAAAAGUAAAGUUCUGUCUCCCCUACAUCUUGAACCAGAGUGAAGCAUGAUGGAAGAACAGAAGAGCUUCGAAGGCAUGGGAGAAAACUAAGUAAGGGGGAACGUCCCUAACGUUGAACAUAAGCAUAACUGAACCUAGCGAUCUGAGAUGAAUAGUGUAGCCACACUGGAAGAAAAAAAAAAUAACCAACUGAAAUGACUUCUGGGCGCAGUACAUCGACCAUAAACAUCUUCAAGUCCAAAGACAAGAACUGCAAACACAUACUGAACUGUCCCAUAGUAGGGACCCCGAUCACCCAGGAACACACAACACUUCAAUCAUUUUGCUCCUAUCUGAAGAGGAUAUUUACCUUUACCUCCACUCGAUCUCCGGAAAGAAUCUUCUUGUACAGAAGAGGAAAAGACAAAUCCGGGCAGGCUGAAAGAGGCAGCCGAAGCCCACAGGAUGAAAACGUGAUAUUUCCGUUCAUUUGAUUUUCGGAGACCAUUCGACGCCCCUCCCCAGCCCACACAUCUACUCUUGAGAAUGGACGCCUUGUCCUGACUGACGCCCUCUGUUCAAAUUUUCCUUUCGUUGUCGCAAGAUUAGGUUACUACGUAAUCCGAAAGGUCAUACUGAGGAUUAAGACAAUUUCAUGUUAAAUUGGUGACAAAACCCUUA